rnacentral:rRNA from 1 species
UACGAAGGGGGCUAGCGUUGUUCGGAAUCACUGGGCGUAAAGCGCACGUAGGCGGAUGUGCCAGUCAGGGGUGAAAUCCCGGAGCUCAACUUCGGAACUGCCUCUGAUACAGCGCGUCUCGAGUCCGAUAGAGGUGGGUGGAAUUCCUAGUGUAGAGGUGAAAUUCGUAGAUAUUAGGAAGAACACCGGUGGCGAAGGCGGCCCACUGGAUCGGUACUGACGCUGAGGUGCGAAAGCGUGGGGAGCAAACAGG